UAGGUUACGAACGUUCGGGACCCGAUUUUUCUUUCACGCAUCCUAAAUUAGAAGAAAAAUAGCAGUAACCUCCAUCAGCGACAUCUACAGCACGGCUAUAAGUAUCACGGACAACACAAUACACCUCAUAUAUUAUCAAUUGUCUUAUCUUAUCAAUUGUCAUCAAUUUGGUGGAAGUUGUUAUAAAAUCUUUUCAAAUUGAUUUUCAGGUUAACAAUGUCAUAUUUCAGGGAACGUAUUCGUUCUUCAAAUUAGAAAUUAUUUAUACACCUAGUCAGAGACGCGACGAAAUCAAUACACGUUGGCGAAGCUGUGCAAGAUGCAGCCAAUAUUUAACGAGCCAACCAGUCAAUCGCUGGCUUUCUUUAACCCACGGUGAUCUUUAAUUCAUUAACGACAUUAAUUAUUCAUCGCCGAUAACGACGACGGAAUCGCUGAUCGUCGUCCCUUCUCGAUUACAAGCAGAGCAGACCUCGUCGUGUGCCACGUCUGCGAGAAGUUUCAACUGGAAAGACGGAUCCUUUGUUAUUUUCCCGGCUUCUCCAGGAUAAAUCGGUAUAGCCGUGUCGGUACAAUUGUAACGAUGUUGGAAGGGGAACGAAACGGAGCGUUUUCACGUGGACGCUCGAUGUGUACGGACUGGCUAAUCCCUCUGACAUUGUUCCAAAACAAUACGAUAUCCGUCCCUAAUUUGUACCGCCUUCCAGCGGCCGCUUCUCUUUCGCGUUAUACGUUGAACCGACCGGCUGACAGAGUCAAUAUUUUCGCUUUCUAGUCCUCCACGAAGGAGGAGACGGUAUAUCGGCGGAACAUUGGCGGAACAUUGGCGAACCACGAAGAAGAGAAGAAAAACGCGGAUUUCUGCAUAGCUGGCUCCGACGAUGCUCGCACGGCCUGCUUGCUCAGCCGUUUUGGAUCAAGUCGCGUCUCGCGUGCACGUGGACCUUGCCCUUUCUGGAACAUUUCUUCUUUGAUAUCUUCUUUAAAGGAUCGGUAUCGUCAAUUAUGUGCAAUACCGUUUGAUAAAAUUUAUUAUAAAUAUUUGUAAAACACUUGGUGUAACAUUGUAACAAUUUCGUAUCAUUUCAAGCGUAUUCUCCGGGAGAGUAUUGUUUCCGGAUAGCUCGAAGAGACAGGGCGUACCGCGAGAAACAAGCAGUGAAAAUCGCAUUGACGAUGAAAGUAGCAGAGAGGAGCCACGGUGAGAGUGUUUGAAUCGCACUCGCGGGACCUAUGUCGGUCCAACUGGUUCUACGUUUGAUUUCAGGGAGGCAAGAGGGAGUCGGGGUAAAAAACGAGAAGGCGAAAAAGAGAGAGGGAGAGAGAGAGAGUGAGAGGGAGAGAGGAAACGAAAGCAGAGGAGCGAAAGAGUAGUGCGCUCGGCGUUGUAGGACUCUCCGCUGGAGAGCUCUCCCUCUCUCUCGCCCGCUUAAAGCCCUAUCCACUACUCAUUUAUCAAAUAAAUCAACACAGCUACUUGUGCACCUGUGAAGAGAUCCAGCCGCUACCCGAGCCGUCCAAAAGCCCGUUUCAAUCCGUAAAUCGAUUUCUUCGCUUCACCGUGUAAGGCGUAAGGAGUUGGCUUUAAGAAAUCGAUAGCGAGAUUUGAUUUGACAACGUGAACAAGUAAGUCUUUUUUAUUAAAUAAUUCUGAAACUACAAACGAAUGGAUAAAGGAAUUCUACGAAGGUUGCAUAUUAAAAGAUUUAUAUCGAUUAAAGAUCGUAGAGUCGAAUUUCCCGGGUUAAUAAGAUAAUAUAACUUCCUUAAGAAACAUUAGUAGUAAAUCGAUAGCUGUUUCCACGUCCUCCGUUUGCAGAUCGAGCAAAGGUAAAGCCGGAAAGACGGAAGAAGAAUGCGAAUACAAGGGGGUAAGGUAACAGGAGAGCCGAAGGGAAAGAAAGAGAGAAGAAGGGCAUAAUCAAAGAGCUUCGAAAAAUCAGGAUGCACUUAGAAGCACGUACUCGGCCUAUAGAGAGGCAUUCAGUUAUACUGGUGAGUUUGGAGUCAAAGCAAGGACCCUUGCCUCAGCUGGCGCAUUACCUCCGCCGCUCUCGCGUCCUCUAUGGCCGCGUUUACAUCCACGCUACCUUUUCCUCCGGAAGCCACAGCCACCGUAUUUACGAUCGUAAGAGACAGCAUCGACUCGACGAUUAGGAGGCGAGUCGAGUGCUGUCUCGGUUUUUGAAUGAUCUUUGAACCAUUUCAUAGUUUCAAAUUGGUAUUUCUGUGAUUGUCGUCGUGAUGGGUCCACGUUGAUUUUAUCAUUUCGUUAGAAGUCGGGGGAGAACAUGAGUUUCAUUUUUGAUAUAGAGACGCGUUAAUUGCAACGAAAUGGAAUAGAAAAUAGGAAAUAUGACUGGAAAAUAAUAAAGUAGAUAUGGUACGACCGAAGAAUUAAAACUUCGUAACUAGUAGUGAAUAAAUGAAACAAAAUAAAAAUAGACAUUUUCUAUUAUGCUUCGUUGAUACUUCCACGUGAUAGGAGAUUAGAGGAUUGACCAGAAAAUGAUUCGCAUUCAGAAACUUUAGUCCGAUUGCAUGCGACACGAGAUCAAACUCAAUCCGAUGAACUCAAAUACCGUUCACCAAGCAUCUAACCACAAGUCGUUUAAAGGUCCUCGAAUCUUUUACAAGACGUAUCGGAAGACCAUUAAGGUAACGCUCGUGAACAGAGACAGCAGAAGAAAAAACAAUCACGCCCCUCGUGCCGUCGAAAAGUCGUCGAGAGAAGAGUCUGUUCCCGCUCGAGGAUCGUGAUUAGGUGAUAUCGAAUCCUACACACUUGCUCGACGCGCGAGUAUACCGAGGAGGUUCCGGGAGAACGAGGAGACAAGCAGAAAAGAAAGAGAAAGAAUAGAGAGGGGGCGGGAGGGAGGGACAGAGAGAGAGAGAGAGAGAGAGAGAAAGAGAGAGAGAGAGAGAGAGCUGUGGCGAGGGAGGAAGCACACGAGUGCACAGGAGGUCGCGAGCUGAAGAGUUGCGGUAGAGACGCGGUGGAUCCUGAAAAGCGAGAAGAGCGCUGAAAAGGUGGCUACUCGGCUUUGUAACGGAGUUAAGGAGACGAGAAAGAAGACGAACAGGGAGAGGAAGAGGAAGAGGAGGAGGUAUAAACGUCGCAGGCGCAGAAACGUCACGAGAGGAAGUUAGGAAAGGAACGGGAGGAAGAAAGGAACGAAAAGAAGAGGGAAGAAGGACCUAAACUGGUAGAAAAAAAGAGAGGAAAACAGUGCGUCGCGAAGAAGAGGAAGAGGAAGAGGAUGGUCCUUGUGCAGCGAGGACCCCAGGAUACCGGCAAGGAGUAUCCUAGAACUGUCGAGGAUGCUUCACUCCCAUCGUCCUCUUCCUCGUGGCCCCCUUUGCGUCCCGUAUCUCUCCUCUUUUCCUCCGCCUGUCUUCCUUCCGUACUCCUCUCUCUCUCUCUCUCCUCCUUGUAAAUACGCCCCUCCCGAGACCCAUCAGGAUCUCUACUCUUGCAAAGAGAAGCGUCGUCUCCUUCAAAUGCUACACACUGAGAGGGAUAUCAUCCCCUUCUUUCGUUCCCUUUCUCUCCUUUCUUUUUCUCCCUUUCUCCUUCCCAUCUCGAUCUUUCCUCCACAUUUUUUAUUUCUUUAUUUUAUUUCCCUUCCUCUGUACUUUGAGUUUGCUUCUUCUACUCCUCGUACCCUAUCGUAAGGCAACGCGCGAACCAUCCGUGCGUCUCCGUCACCUCCGAUCUCGGCAACCGCGUUGCGCACCGCGAGACUUUCGUACAGGUUGCGAAAUCAAGGACCCUUCGAGAGCUCUGGAGUAGGCGGAGGAGAGUGUGGCCGUGCGACAACACGCCAGCUUUCCUAGCGAAGGUGUCGUUUGAAACGACGAACCUCCGUUCUGUUUAUAGACUUCUCUUCGAUUGAGACGUCAAGACUAGAUCUCAAGUUUUGUAGCAACGUAACGAUUGAAUCUUUGUAGCAUCGUUUUAAGAUUAAUUGACAGAGACGCAAGAUUGUCCAAACACAGGGAACCGAGGAAAUGUAGUUUGAUUGAGCAAACAGCGAAGAAUAUCCAAAUUUUCGGCGGAACCGCGAAAUUCGACGCGGUGGUCCGAGGAAAUUCCAGAGAAGCCAGUUGAAGAGGAUUCCACGGCCAGAUCUGGACGGUCAGCACGGUCGCGAGUCCUCGAAACGUCGGUGAAAUCGGAUCCUUCGGGAGUGGCUGGUAGAUGGGUCAACAAGUCGACACGUUCAGAAACGAGAUCGUUCCCUAACCGAGAAGAACACGGCCACCGUACGUUCCGAAACCUGAUACGUUCCGCAGGAAUCAAAACGUGUCAUGGAUCCGGCCACUUAAGCCUGGAGAACCUUUUACACUUCCGAUCCGAAAUGAAAAGGAAGAAAGGGACCCACUUUAAAAGCGCCUGCAAUUCUUAUUCUUCCUUCGAUCUAUUGACCGUCUACAAUCUACUAGACCAUGAUCUAUUGAUCUCUACAGAGAUGACGUGUUUACACCCGUACAUUAUAAGGUUUGCGUAAAAGUGAAAGUCUUAAAGCAAUUCGAUAACGAAAAUUGUAACGCCUGCUUGAUAAAAUUAAUUUUCAGCGAACGAGGAAACGCCAGUACUUGGAUGAUACACGAAUUGAUUAAUAUCGUACGAAUUCAAAUAAUACGCUGGUUGCAUACAGGAUGAAAUUUGGAAAAGAACGAUCAUCGAGAUUAUACUUUCGAGAAUCUUCGGUGACAAUGACAAGGAAUAGGAAUUACCGCAUUAAAGAUCUUUAAAAAGAGGUUGGGGAAUCCUCUAGAAAACCGCACAAUGUCUAAAAAACCGGUCAAGGCGCCUGCUAAAAUCCGAUUCGACGGAUGAUCUUCGCCGAUGUCUACAGCAAGGUACAAUAGAAGAAAUCCAAUAGGAAAGACAGAGAAGGGCAGUUUCUCUGUUCCUUCGGAUUUAGAAUCCGUUGUUCGCCGCGUUCGCGCGGAAAUGAGGUGGAAAACCGCACCCUCGGGACCGACUCACCUUUUCUUUACGUUCUCGAGGAUACUAACCGAGGAUUUCACCGACGCCGCGGUUUCUUGAUAUUACAAACGCGCGUAGAGCGGGUUCUCGAGGCAACCGAGCGCGAAGAAACGGUGCCAAGGUAAAAAACGAAAGCAAGAGAGGAGAAGAGAAAGAGGAACGAUGAAAAGCCCCGAUUCCGGGACAGAGAAAAAUAUCGGCGAGUCGGCAGGCGAGGGAAAGGCGGGAGGGAAAGGCGGGAGAGAAAAGCGGAAAACAUUUUCAUUCGUCGAAUUCUCGACGUUGCAAACACGCCACGAUUGAUUUUCGUUUCUGUCGGUUAAUCGCGCGACCCAGAAACGCAAAUGUAAUUUACAUGGCGUGAAAAAAGGGAGGAAGUAAAAAUGACAGACGAAUGGAGAUGCAACAAUGACAGUUGAACAGUCGCGAAUGCGUCUUUCGAGGAUCUUUAAACGACGAUGAAGAGAAUUGAACCUGUCAUAAACCAGAAUCAAGGCGUUCGUCGCGUAAACUGCGUUUUAUAUAAAAAAAAACAACGAGAGCGGACUAAGUGAACGUCUAAAAAACACUACUUAAUUAUAUAACACAGCAAAGAAAGAGCAGUUAAAAACAAUCACAAAAAAAUAUAUAUAUGGAAAAACAUUUAAAACGAAAACACUAGAAACUAGAUGAAAAAAGCAAUAAAAAGAGGAUAUGAAAAAGCAAGGAAUGAAAGCAAAAUCACCGUAGAAAGAAGGGUAUUACGAAGCGUGUUUACACAUAUAUUCAGGGAGUCGUCCAGCCUCUCUCUCUCUCUCUCUCUCUCUCUCUCUCUCUCUCUGCGUGCACAUCCGUCGAAUAUAAUCGCGCGUACGCAGGGAGGCAACAAGAACUCGUCGUCAUUUCUGAAUUAAUCUCAUUCGACUGCCCCCUUUAUGCUCUCGUUCGCAUCCUGCGAGGCGAAAGGCUCGUAGCCGCUUCGUGGCCUCAAGGUUAAUUGGAACGAGAGCUAGAAAAGGAAAAGGACCGAAUAGAAAUCCCACGAGGAAGGCCACGCGAAUUUUCUUGCCGGAUAGUGUCGCUUAAACGCACGUUCGACCGAUGCACUUUCACCUCAAGGGUCAAAGUACAAGGUUGCUCCCUUUUUCCAAACUUAAACAGCCCGUGCUCUAUGUAUGACGCUAUGUAUGACUGCUUUCAGAUCUCGGAUGUACAUAAGUUCGUUGAUACAGCGCGCAACGUAAAAACUACGAAAGAGAAAUUGGACAUUAUGAAUUCUAAGUGGAAGAAAAAAUUAACUUUGAUGAAAAAAUUAAGGAGAAAAAUAGGUAAAGAUUUUCUUCUAUAAAACUACAAGCAUUCGAGUUAUUUCUGAGAGUAAAGAGAAGAAAAUUAGAAGUUAGUGCACAGGUGUAUCGAUGAUGAUCCCUCGACAAAACAACGUAUCUUUUCUUUGGCUGGCCGGAGAACGUAGGAUAUGCGCAUCAUUUACUUUUAUUAUGUGAAAGAGGCUCCUCCAUUCAGGUGAUCCGAAAAAGAAAGGAAAAUUCUCUCGCGGCCGUUCUUUUUCUUACGAACGAUAGAGGACCUUCGUCCCCUGUUAGCUCAUGGGAACGUAAUACGAGCAGACGUGUCGGUCCUCGACUCUUCAAUUAGCCCCGGAAGUCAACGUAACGAGAAUUUCGGGGAAAAUAGAUCUAACGCUGCGAAAAUAUCUUUUCCUUUUGCUUUCGCUCUGAAUUGCUUUCUAUCGUGGUAAAAUUAUUUACUAUAGUACCACGAGCCUCAGAUUUUUUGGACAUUUUUUACAAAUAUGUAUCGCAACAGAAAUGAAGAAGCAACGAUACGUAUUACGAAAGAAUAUUCUGAAUAUAUUCGAAAUUUCAGAUGUCGUAAGGUACGAUAACUAGAAAGAAAAAUAUUCUACCUUGUACGCAGUUACGCUAGGAAUUGCAAAAGUCAGAGAAAGCAAUGCAACAUAGAGCAUCGCAGUGUCAGCAUGAAAUAUUAAGUAGUAUCGGACAGUUACGAAUCGGACAUUUGGCCGAUUAAACAGGCAACUGAUGGUCCGAUAAUAUCGAUCAUAUAAACGAAUAUAGGGUCGGUUUGGCUUUAAGUAAAAGACCAAACGAAUCGACCCCUGCCUCCUCCACCUCGCAGUAACUAUAGAGAGUCGAGGGCAGCCUUUCUAUUAGCCACUAGAAAUCGCACGUACCCUUCACAGGAACAAAUCGAAACGGUACCGUAGCUGCUGGCCCUUCUGGCUCUAAUAGAGUUUCACGCUCGCCGAGAGAAUUGCCUCGAGUCAGACGAUCCUGGUGGACCAAAGCUGGUCAAGCGAAGAAUUGAUAAUCAAAGUGAUCCCAAACGCCCCUCCUGUGUCCCUUAACGAUUUCGAUUGCUCCGAUUGCAUCGAAGGACGAGGAAAUUUUUUGCGUAAUCCCUGAUGCGUAUAAAGACUUGUAUAAAAUUGAUAAUUUUCAAUAUAAUUACGCGAAUUUCUCUGUUAAGUAUAUUCGAAUAGGAUAAUUUAGAAUUUCCUUAAAAAUCGUCGACGUUAAAAGUAGCCAAUUAUCUGUGAAUAUCCGAAUAACGUGCUCGUUAAAUACCAAGUAUCGGCAAUCUGUGCAACAGUCCCUAUAAAUUAUCCUCGACGACCGUCGAAAUCUUCGCCACAAAGGAAAAACACUCGCUCUUAUCGUUCCCAAUUUUACCCAAGAAACCACGUACUUCUCCACGUACAUACUGCAAUUUCCACCCCGCGGAUCUCUGCGCGGACACCCGUGCUCUUCGAACUCUUGCGUCGCGGCAACAAGAGGAUUUCUCUCAUUGCUAAUAUUUUUUUUUCUUUUUUUUAGUAUUUCAGUGUCAGCGAGCGAGGAAGAAUCGCGGUAAAGGACCUGUGCCUUCCCCCCCCCCCCCCCUUUCACUUGCCUUCUCCUCUCAUCCGUUAGCAAGGAGAUAGGAAACAAGAAAAGAAGGAAAGAACGAACGAAGAGCGAGGAGGAGGAACCGAGACAGAGGAAGGGUAGAGCAAAGAAGGAGCAGAAAAGGGAAAAAGAAAUCUGUAUCUUUGACGAAACCGAAGAAGACUCGUCGUACGUGUCCUUAAGCGACUGCCAGGCUUCCACGCUAAUGAGGCGCGGCGUAAUUAGUGAGACUGUCUACUGGCUGGACCCUUGACGAGAGGGCGGAUCCCUCUCGACGUCGAGUCGCUCUCUCAUCCUACCCCUCCGGUUCGCCACUCCACGCAUCCUCAACCCGUUUCACGAUUUCUUACCGGUGGUGAAGAAGGAGCCGCGGCUCGCUGACACCUCGCGGAUAUUCACGACUUUUCACCCGUGCUCCUCCGCGAGGUAAAAAAUAGCGCGAUUAAAUCUACCACUCUGGCCGGACUUAAUUCGCUUUUCUUCUGGCCUCGCGCAUCGUGCACGCUUCGACCAUGAAACUUUCUCGUUUCUUCUUCGUCAUUCUUUUAUAAUUUCAGGCGAGAUCGGCGGCUGCAGAUCGCUGUAAACACGUUGCAAAGCUUGUUUAGAGCUGACUGGACUGGUGAGAUAUUAAGAAUCGUUCGAUCUUGAGAACUUGACGCCUUCGCAACUCGACGCGUGGCUCGAUGUUUUAAGGUAAAGAGUCGAACGAGAGAAAUUGCCCAUUUUCUUGUAAUUACGAUUAUUAAAUCGAUAAAACGCCGAAUGUCGUUCUUUUUUCUCUUCAGGCUCUUGCAAACGAUCGAAAGUCGGAGAGAUGGGGCAAAAUUGAGUCAAUAAGACGAUUGCAACUUAUUAUCGAAAUUACCAUAGAAAGCCAAAUUCGCGAGAAAUCUUAUUAAACUGGAUAGGAGAUAAUUUAUUGGACGUACGAAUCUAGAGCGAGACGAAGAGUAAAUUACCUACGAUUUCUCCGAUAACAGGAAAACCGAGAAAUAAGAAAAAACUGAAUGAACUUGAACGAUCCUACAGAGAGAUACGGUGUAGGUUGUCCAUGCGGUUGCGAAGGGGGUGGGUUUUCGAAGGCGGGAAGGCCGAUUUAGAGCACAAUGCGGUUCAAUGCCGAGGAAAUUAGCCACGGCGCUGCCAGUGACGCCCGUCAGUCCCACACCAUGGAAAACAGAGACCGUAUCUGUCCCUGUUGCCGGGCUAUGGGAGCACGAGCGUAUCGUUAUCCCCGUGGUUCGUACGAAUUUUCAAUCAACCACAUACUCGACUCCACUCGGAAUUCUUUGCCAAAUUAGAGAAACUCUUGUGAAAAGAAUUUUCAACGUUAUUUUGAAUCGAGAAGCUUAACAAUUAAAAUCCGUCGUCGCGUGUAUCCAAAAAUGGAGGUGAUCUUGAAAUUUUUACUUGAAAUCUUAUCAUUAGUCUCCUUUGUAUCUUACAAUUUUUAUAGAUAUUCAAUUUUACCGAUCACACGAAUCAAAUUGUUCCAGUCUUUUGCCUCCGUUUCCCAGGCACGGAAAUAAAUCUAUCUACGAUGAAUUAGACGGAAUGGUAAAAGAUGUACUGGAAGAAGAAGAAAACCUUCUGAUAAUAAAA